rnacentral:lncRNA from 1 species
UUUAGAGAAGUUCAGUAAUUCUUCUGGAGAGUAUUCCAAAAAAGAUGCCCAACUGUUUACCUCACUGAACUAAGCCAUAGAAAGGUGUUAUUUCUGACCAUCUGACCACUUUAGAAUCUUCUGGAGAGUAAGAGAUUGGUUUCAGACUGAUGGACUUGACCUCAUCCAACACGCUCUGCAGCUAAAAGACGCAAACGUCCACAAACCGCCAUUACCAAGUCUUGUGACACUCCAGUGGACGACUCCAUUCUGACAGAAAACCCUCAGGAGGAGAUCAACCCGACUGAUCUGCAGGAAAAGCUCCAAGAAGGGGACCAGUCAAUUCAAGCCAGAGGAGACAGUCGAGCAUCACGCUGAAAACGCACAAUCCAGAGGUGAUUGAGGUAAUUGUAUGCAGUUGUGAGUGUUGGAGAAAGGGUCAAGGAUGCAGCUCCUGUGCAGUUUUGAUUUCAAGCUCA